CCUACGGGCGGCUGCAGUGAGGAAUAUUGGUCAGUGGACGAGAGUCUGAACCAGCCAAGUAGCGUGAAGGAUGACUGCCCUAUGGGUUGUAAACUUCUUUUAUAUGGGAAUAAAAUGUUCCACGUGUGGGAUUUUGUAUGUACCAUAUGAAUAAGGAUCGGCUAACUCCGUGCCAGCAGCCGCGGUAAUACGGAGGAUCCGAGCGUUAUCCGGAUUUAUUGGGUUUAAAGGGAGCGUAGGUGGAUUGUUAAGUCAGUUGUGAAAGUUUGCGGCUCAACCGUAAAAUUGCAGUUGAAACUGGCAGUCUUGAGUACAGUAGAGGUGGGCGGAAUUCGUGGUGUAGCGGUGAAAUGCUUAGAUAUCACGAAGAACUCCGAUUGCGAAGGCAGUUCACUGGACUGCAACUGACACUGAGGCUCGAAAGUGUGGGUAUCAAACAGGAUUAGAUACCCGUGUAGUC
rnacentral:rRNA from 1 species